GAUGAACGCUGGCGGCGUGCCUAAAACAUGCAAGUCGUGCGGCAGCAUGCCCUUCGGGGUGAUGGCGAGCGGCGGACGGCUGAGUAACACGUGGGAAUCUGCCCCGAAGUGAGGGAUAACUGCUCGAAAGAGUAGCUAAUACCGCAUAUGGUCUACGGAUUAAAGCUUCGGCGCUUCGGGAGGAGCCCGCGUAAGAUUAGAUAGUUGGUGAGGUAAUGGCUCACCAAGUCGACGAUCUUUAACUGGUUUGAGAGGAUGAUCAGUCAGACUGGAACUGAGACACGGUCCAGACUCCUACGGGAGGCAGCAGUUAGGAAUAUUCCACAAUGGGGGCAACCCUGAUGGAGCAACGCCGCGUGGAGGAUGAAGGCCUUCGGGUUGUAAACUUCUUUUCUUUGCGAAGAAUAUGACGGUAACAUAGGAAUAAGGGUCUGCUAAUUACGUGCCAGCCGCCGCGGUAA
rnacentral:rRNA from 1 species